rnacentral:rRNA from 1 species
CUAGUUGGUGUAGGUAAUGGCUCACCAAGGCAUCGAUCAGUAGCUGGUCUGAGAGGAUGAUCAGCCACACUGGGACUGAGACACGGCCCAGACUCCUACGGGAGGCAGCAGUGGGGAAUAUUGGACAAUGGAGGAAACUCUGAUGCAGCGAUGCCGCGUGAGUGAAGAAGGCCUUUGGGUUGUAAAACUCUUUCGUCGGGGAAGAAAAUGACGGUACCUCCACAAGAAGCCCCGGCCAACUACGUGCCAGCAGCCGCGGUAAUACGUAGGGGGCGAGCGUUGUCCGGAUUUAUUGGGCGUAAAGAGCUCGUAGGCGGUUCAACAAGUCGGUCGUGAAAGUUCAGGGCUCAACCCUGAAAUGUCGAUCGAUACUGUUGUGACUAGGAUACGGUAGAGGUGAGUGGAAUUCCGAGUGUAGCGGUGAAAUGCGUAGAUAUUCGGAGGAACACCAAUUGCGAAGGCAGCUCACUGGGCCGCUAUCGACGCUGAGGAGCGAAAGCUAGGGGAGCAAACAGGAUUAGAUACCCUGGUAGUCCUAGCUGUAA